GAUGAACGCUGGCGGCGCGCCUAACACAUGCAAGUCGAACGGCACCCCUCUCCGGAGGGAAGCGAGUGGCGAACGGCUGAGUAACACGUGGAGAACCUGCCCCCUCCCCCGGGAUAGCCGCCCGAAAGGACGGGUAAUACCGGAUACCCCCGGGAGCCGCAUGGCUCCCGGGCUAAAGCCCCGACGGGAGGGGAUGGCUCCGCGGCCCAUCAGGUAGACGGCGGGGUGACGGCCCACCGUGCCGACAACGGGUAGCCGGGUUGAGAGACCGACCGGCCAGGUUGGGACUGAGACACGGCCCAGACGCCUACGGGAGGCAGCAGUGGGGAAUCUUGCGCAAUGGGGGGAACCCUGACGCAGCGACGCCGCGUGCGGGACGGAGGCCUUCGGGUCGUAAACCGCUUUCAGCAGGGAAGAGUCAAGACUGUACCUGCAGAAGAAGCCCCGGCUAACUACGUGCCAGCCGCCGCCGUAAGAC
rnacentral:rRNA from 1 species